UAAAGGGUGCGUAGGCGGUUUAUUAAGUCAGUGGUGAAAGACGGUCGCUCAACGAUUGCAGUGCCAUUGAUACUGGUAGACUUGAGUAUGAUUGAGGUAGCUGGAAUGGAUAGUGUAGCGGUGAAAUGCAUAGAUAUUAUCCAGAACACCAAUUGCGUAGGCAAGUUACUAAGUCAUAACUGACGCUGAUGCACGAAAGUGUGGGUAUCAAACAGGAUUAGAUACCCUUU
rnacentral:rRNA from 1 species